GGGGACGACAGGCUUCGACGUGGUCGAAACCCGUGUCGUCGGUUGCGAGCGGAGGUUCCGGAGGCCUCCUUAAACCCCGGAAAACACAUACGUGCGGACUCUCACGAGUACGCCCUCGCUGCUUAGUCUCUGACUGAGUAGGCGAGGUCUCGACCUCGGCCUGCCGGCCGUCGGGGCUCGGGAUCAACACGCCGGAUCACCCGCGGAGGAACGCCUUCGCCGAAGCGGGGACAUCUUCAGCCGGGCUGGUCUGCCACAACCCCGUCCGCAAGGCGAGCGACAGACGAGAUCAGAGUGCGGACUACGCUCGUAGAAGCCGCCGAGACGCGAUCGCGGACGCGGGUUCAAUUCCCGCCGUCUCCACUG
rnacentral:tmRNA from 1 species